rnacentral:rRNA from 1 species
CCUCAAGUUAUGUGGA